AGAGUUUGAUCCUGGCUCAGGAUGAACGCUGGCGGCGUGCCUAACACAUGCAAGUCGAACGAAGCUUGACGGAUGAUUUCUUCGGAAUGAAACCAGAUAUGACUUAGUGGCGGACGGGUGAGUAACACGUGAGCAACCUGCCUUUCAGAGGGGGAUAACGGCUGGAAACGGUCGCUAAUACCGCAUGAUGUGUUCGGAUGGCAUCAUCUGAACAUCAAAGAUUUAUCGCUGAAAGAUGGGCUCGCGUCUGAUUAGAUAGUUGGUGGGGUAACGGCCUACCAAGUCUACGAUCAGUAGCCGGACUGAGAGGUUGAACGGCCACAUUGGGACUGAGAUACGGCCCAGACUCCUACGGGAGGCAGCAGUGGGGAAUAUUGCACAAUGGGGGAAACCCUGAUGCAGCAACGCCGCGUGAAGGAUGACGGUUUUCGGAUUGUAAACUUCUUUUCUUAGUGACGAAGACAGUGACGGUAGCUAAGGAAUAAGCAUCGGCUAACUACGUGCCAGCAGCCGCGGUAAUACGUAGGAUGCAAGCGUUAUCCGGAUUUACUGGGUGUAAAGGGAGCGCAGGCGGGACUGCAAGUUGGAUGUGAAAUACCGUGGCUUAACCACGGGACUGCAUCCAAAACUGUAGUUCUUGAGUGAAGUAGAGGCAAGCGGAAUUCCGAGUGUAGCGGUGAAAUGCGUAGAUAUUCGGAGGAACACCAGUGGCGAAGGCGGCUUGCUGGGCUUUAACUGACGCUGAGGCUCGAAAGUGUGGGGAGCAAACAGGAUUAGAUACCCUGGUAGUCCACACUGUAAACGAUGAUAGCUAGGUGUGGGGGGUCUGACCCCUUCCGUGCCGGAGUUAACGCAAUAAGCUAUCCACCUGGGGAGUACGACCGCAAGGUUGAAACUCAAAGGAAUUGACGGGGGCC
rnacentral:rRNA from 1 species